GCAGGUGUAGUACAAUGGUUAGUAUAUGGCCUUGCCAAGGCUAGGAUGCCGGUUCGAUCCCGGUCACUUGCUCCA
rnacentral:tRNA from 2 species